CAUUUCAAAAUCGCCCGCCCUGCUCCCUCUCUCUCUCUCUGUCUCUCUCUGUCUGGAUCUGGAUCUAGGUUUUCCUCCAUGAAAAUUUCACCUGAUCUAUGAAGAUUCUGACCUCUCAAUUCUGUUUUAGGGUAUUUUUGGUGUUAUUGCUACCUUCGUCAAGGGUCAUGGUUUAAGGAAUGUGUCACGUUUCUUCAGAGAUUCCAGUCGGAAUCCUAGCCGAGAUAAUGGAUACUCUAGGGUUUAUGAAGGUUUGAUGAACUAUGCUGCGUGUACCAGUGAAACACGAAGAUCCUCUUUAAAUGGAUUCCGGUAAGACGAUUAGGGUUCUGGCGUGCUGGACUGCCAUCUCUGUCAAAAAAGGUUCCUCAAAGAUAGUGGUUGUGGGUGGAAGACGAUGACACAAGCCUUGAAUCAAAUCCAUGUUUACUCGACCUCCAUAUUUUGAGGGUAAAAGUGAAGAUGACUUCUUUGACAGGACUUAAAUCAAGUUGAAGUUUGCACCAGAUAAGGGGACGCGUUUAGAUGGUUGGCUGGAAAUCCUUCCCACAAACUGGAUAUAAUGGCUCAGUGUGGCUACUAUAAACUCUUCUUGUUUUGUUUCUGUGCUAUUUAAUGGCAUUGUUCAUUGCACCCUGCAAAUGAUUGUUACAAUCUCACAUUAACAAAAACCGAAAGAGAAAAAACAGUUCAUGAAAAACUGCUUUAAUGGCUACACGACAUGUUGCACAAGCAGGACGUCCGCUAAUGAAUAUCGUCAGAAUGAAGGGGGUGCCCAUCCUACAGCAGUUGGAGAUUGAAGAAUGCCUUUUGCGGACCUCAUCGGACAACUGGUGCAUCAUAAAUGAUAGGGCGGAUAGACCCCACAUUGUCAUGGGCAUUUCUGGGAAACCUGCUGAACUUGUGGAAAUUAAACGUGUUCUAGAAGAUAAUAUUCCUGUCAUACGAAGGUUUACUGGUGGCGGGACUGUAAUAGUUGAUCUAGGGACAAUAUUUGUUUCAUUCAUAUGUAACAAGGAUGAUGUUGCAGAUGUACAACCGUAUCCUCGACCCAUCAUGUCUUGGACCAGCCUAUUAUACAGUCAGGUUUUUGAAGGAAUUGCUGAUUUCAGGCUUCGUGAGAAUGUUGUUGCUUUGACAACUAUGGAAUAAUUAGAGACAUUAUGCAAAACCAUCUGCUUCAGAUAUUGGCCCUUUUUGCUUUGGAAACUCCUGUCAGUUUGGAUGCAGAAGAUAUCAGAAACGAAAAGGUUUUAUUUUUUGUUUUAGCAAGAAUGAUGACUCUGGCUGGUGGUGACCAAAAAGUGCACGAUGCUUAUUGUUAGUUCUGGUUCACUGGUGAUAACCAUGAUGGUUCUUUUUGAAGCGUUUAGCUCUAUCUGACACUAUUUGAUACUUUUCCAUGGUGGUGACUAGCGAGUCCCGAGUCCAGCUCGACAACAGGUGUGUGGUCUGGUGGAUUGAACAAAUGUGUGACAAUGGCGACCGAGGAGUUCUAGAGUUUCAUGAUAACAGAACAUCGGUGAUUGGCAGUGGUAUAUUGCUACCAUCAACAGCAAAGUCAAAACCUCAAAGGUGGAUCUAAGUGUCAAGGUUUCGCUCAGAAUGGCUUCCAGUCAACAGGUCAAUUAAAAAAAGGCUACAUUUGUUCGGGUCGAAACGGGUCGAUUAUUGAAUGCUAUUUUGGUUCAGCUAAAAAUGAAUGGUUUCAACUCAUUAAAAUGUCACAUUUCCAAAGCGAUCCGUAUUUUACCUGAACUAAGCGGUCCGUUUUUUACCUGAACUAAGCGAUCCGUUUUUGAAACUGGAAGUACUGUUGUUGGUGGAGGAAACAGCGUUGGAAGUUUUUUCUUUAUAUAGUUCUACCCCAUAUGACCAGCUAAAAGCUAUCAUCAUUGUACACGGGUUGAAGCGAGCUGGUUUUUUUAAAGAAAGGGGUGACUCCGGUUCAGAUGCGAGUUCAGAGCGUGAUCUCUAGCAGCAACUCACUUCCCCGCCACCUUCAAAGACUGUUGCAACCAUGUCAAGGACUCUGUUGAUCAUCGACUACAGUGGACGACAAUGAAGACUGUAAUAUAAUUUUUUUUUCUGCUUUCAUAUCUUACAUUUUUUUUCCUAUAGGAUUCCAAUUUUCAGUUCUUAAAUAGACUUUCAACUUUUACAAGUUUUUAAUCGACUGUAGAAGUGGCAGGGUUUACCCAUUUACUUGUGAUCAAGUCAAUUUGGAUUGUUUUUUGUUUU